rnacentral:misc_RNA from 1 species
AGGCGCUCAAGAACAACUCAAAAAUUAAUAUCGAAGAGAGAGAUGAGCCAUAGAAACACCAUUCUUUGAGCCAAGGCAAUUACUGAGGAAAAAAGAAGAAACCAAAUAGAAAUCAGAUUGCCCCGGCUUUUGCUACAGUUUGAAUGCUAAGGCAAUUAUAAGGGCGAUCCAAGAAAAGAACUCCAAAUGAACACAAUCACAAAAAGCAAAGAG